GGUGAAGAACGUAGCGAAAUGCGAUAAGUAAUGCGAAUUGCAGAAUUCCGUGAGUCAUCGAAUCUUUGAACGCACAUUGCGCCCUCUGGUAUUCCGGAGGGCAUGCCUGUCUGAGCGUCAUUGUCAACCCUCAAGCUCAGCUUGCUGUUGGGUCCCCGUCGUUGCUUUAACGGCGGACCCGAAAGGUAAUGGCAGAGUCCGUGAGACCCUAGACGCAGCGAGCUUCUAGCACGCGUCUGGACGUUUUUCGGGCUCGGUCUUAAACUAGAUGAUAACUUCCGAUUGACCUCAGAUCAGGUAGGGAUACCCGCUGAACUUAAGCAUAUCAAUAAGCGGAA
rnacentral:misc_RNA from 1 species